UUUUCAUUUAUUCCAAAGCCCUUGCUAUCUCUGGGUUAUACCUGUAUCAUGCCUUACCAAUAGACAGACCAUGGGAUUUCCCAGCCUCCUCUUCUACUGAGAAUAGACACCAUCACUAAGGCGGAUCUUUGACACUAUGCUUUAAUACAGUUUGGAGAAUGGUUCAGUGGGAGUUAAAUUAAUGGUUAAGUCUUGCUUCGAGGACUGGUCCAGAAGACAUUACUGAAGUUUAUCUGGUGGUCAAGUCAUUUUCUUUCUCCCCCUUUCCCCACAGACUUUACGUGGGCACCUUGCUUUUAACUCUGUCAUGGGGUGGGUAAUGUGUUUAAAUCCUGUUCUAAUCAGAGUUUAAUCCUGUCAUGUAGAGAUCUGGUCAUUAUGCAUAAAGGGCAGCAGAUUAAUGUUCUGAGACACGGCUGCAGCAUUAGUGAUUAGUUGCGGUGUGGAAAGAAAAAGGGCCCCCAGCUCUGCUCACAACACACCGGAGAGUGGGAGAUCACAGCUUGAUGUAGUGAUCCACUCCUAGUAGUUCUCAGUAGACAUUUUAUAAAGUUCUGCUACAUUUGUAUGUGAUAUCAUGGCGGGAGGGGGACUGUUCACAAGUGAACCGAUUGUGUUUCUUUGGGUCCGUUCUCCGUAAACAUGCACCGUUAGUACAUGGAAAGGAUAACCAUAAAAAAACAUUAAUAAAACCUGAAGCGCUGUUUAUUGCUGGCCUUUUCUUUGAUGUUCUUGAGCAUACAAUAGCCACUAAUCAUCCACUUUCGAGGACACAAU